AGCGGGGCGAUUUCGAAAGGAAGGACUGCAGCGCCCCUCGGGGCUUCUCGGGGAGCCCAGGAGGAAAGAGCUCAAUGCGGAAUCACAUAGGCAAAGGCUCUGAUUAUUUUCCUUGCAAUCGAAGACAAAAGCCGCCAUGUUUAUUAAAAUGAAAGUCGUAUUUUUACUCUUCCCUGGAAAGAAGUAUGUGCAACCAGACCAUCCCACCAAAGUCCUUCUAGCCCCCAGGAAGAAAAUUGAAGAGUUCAAAGAAUUGAAAAGUUAAGCCAAUUCAUUUAAAAUAAUCUUUGACUUUCUCAUUAUCAAUAUAUGUGUAUUUUCUGCAAGGUUACAAAAACAACUGGAACAUAUGUUAAAAUAAUCUUCAGUGUCAUCUGCAGCAACUAAUUCUAGAGAACUAUCUUAUUCAAUUUCAUUUCUUACUUAUAUGGAACUAAACCUUAAUCUGCUUUUCAGGUAUGAAAUAUAUUCAUGAUUCUGUCUCAAAAUAUGAAAUCAAAAGUUAGCAUUAUAACUCCCAGCUAACUGUCAUAUUAAUUCAUCUGGAUGAACCUUGUGGUACUGAACUUUGACAAUGCUCAGGGUGUC
rnacentral:lncRNA from 1 species